rnacentral:rRNA from 1 species
AUACGUAGGUGGCAAGCGUUGUCCGGAAUUAUUGGGCGUAAAGCGCAUGUAGGCGGUUUGGUAAGUCGGUCGUGAAAAUGCGGUGCUGAACGCCGUAUGGCGAUUGAAACUGCUGAACUUGAGUGCAGGAGAGGAAAGGGGAACUCCCAGUGUAGCGGUGAAAUGCGUAGAUAUUGGGAAGAACGCCGGUGGCGAAGGCGCCUUUCUGGCCUGUGUCUGACGCUCAGAUGCGAAAGCCAGGGUAGCGAACGGGAUUAGAUACCCCGGUAGUCCUGGCCGUAAACGAUGGGUACUAGGUGUGGGAGGUAUCGACUCCUUCCGUGCCGGAGUUAACGCAAUAAGUACCCCGCCUGGGGAGUACGGCCGCAAGGCUUAAACUUAAAGGAAUUGACGGGG